CAUAGAUGUCUUGGCUAAUGCGAAAACAUCAGGGCUCCGCAGGCGAAUUCCAGAAGGUUAAGUUUGCGCACCGCGAUGUACUUGAACGAAGCCUUUGCUCCGGGCGACGAGGCGUUUCGUGACAACGGUGCGGCGGAGGCUGAUGAGAUCGUUCACGUUCCACGGCCCAGUAACGAAGCAGGAGGAGCCGCUCCCGAUCACUCAGGCGACGGGCCCAGACUCUCCAAUCAGGAAAGCUGGACGUCCACAAAUGGACUGCGUAGUGAGUUCGAAAGAGCGGACAUUCUCCACCAUGUUUACAGAGGGCGUUGCAGUAAAUUGGGCGGAAGGCUUUACGGAGCCAAAAAGAGCGAUCGCUGACAACCAAGUCAACCACGCACGCUUCACAAAGUUUGCCGACUUUCAAGGAGCCGGCGAUUGUUUACAGCAGCCCGAAUACAACGGUGGCCAGCGCCUCCUCAGCACCGUGGACCGCUACGCGCUGGGCAUCAUCCAGCUGCUGAUCAUCACUUUGGCGACCUUGGCUUUCAUCUUCGUGCCCCUCGC